rnacentral:rRNA from 1 species
GGUAUGGGAUCAUUAUUGAAUAAACUUGAACAGGC